CCAGCACGCGCGGUAAUUCCAGCUUCAAUAGCGUAUAUUAAAGUUGUUGCAGUUAAAACGCUCGGAGUCUGGUGUGGAGUGUGUGGGGGUGUGGGUCGAUAGAUUUGCAUACUCGCACACUCGUUCUGACAGAUAUGUCGGGGUUACUUUGAGGAAAUUAGGGUGUUCAAGGCAGGCGUGUGCUUGGAUAUCGCAGCAUGGAAUAACGGAGUCGGAUUCGCUUCUUAUUUUGUUGGUUUGGGCGAGUGAGUAAUGAUUAAUAGGGGCAGUUGGGGGCAUUGGUAUUUGGUAGUCAGAGGUGAAAUUCUUGGAUUUACCAAAGACUAACUGGUGCGAAAGCGUUUGCCAAGGAUGUUUUCAUUGAUCAAGAACGAAAGU
rnacentral:rRNA from 1 species